rnacentral:rRNA from 1 species
GUCUACAGCCAUGCUACCCUGAACAAGCCCGAUCCCGUCUGAGCUAAGCAGGGUCGGGCCUGGUUUAUACUUGGAUGGGAGACCACCUCGGAAGACCAGGUGCUGUAAGUG